CGGCAGACGGGUGAGUAACGCGUGGGAACAUACCUUUGGUUCGGAACAACACAGGGAAACUCGUGCUAAUACCGGAUAAGCCUUCGGGAAAGAUUUAUCGCCGAAAGAUUGGCCCGCGUCUGAUUAGCUAGUUGGUGAGGUAACGGCUCACCAAGGCGACGAUCAGUAGCUGGUCUGAGAGGAUGAUCAGCCACAUUGGGACUGAGACACGGCCCAA
rnacentral:rRNA from 1 species